GUAUUUAGAUAAGGAGCGGUGGCCACUGAAGGUAGUUGCAGGUUUUAUCAGCUCAAUAAUUUGAUAUGGGUGCUAAUAAAGCUUUGUUAUAUGAAUGUGGAAAUAAUUUAUUAAAAUUUGUCGUAUUGAACUUCGAUUUAAAUUGCUAUCCGUGGUUAGUUUCUGUUCGAUUCCAGGUUGAUAAAGGUCUCCAAAAUCUAUUGUACACAGAAUUGAUGGAGGAAAUAUAUUAGAAGAAACACAAAGGUUUAGUUGUUUUAUUCUGAGCAGUAAGUAAAAGUUCGGCGUGAGUGCAAAAAUGCAUGAUAUUCUUAACAAAGUAAGAAAGCACUUUGUUAAGUAUUUCACAAUGAUUUUUCAAAAAUAUGGAAGGAAAAGAAAAAUAUUUUCAGUGUCUAGUGGAGAAGCGUUUGCAAAUGAAAAAAAUUGAAGGAUGUUUAUAGGAAGCUGAAUCCCAUUGGAAACGAAAAAUAAAAUAACAAUGAAAGGAAAAAAAUACGGACGACCUGUGGUCAGGAAUAGGAAGGUUGAAUUUUUAACUAAUAAAUAAUAAAAAAAUUAUA